CCGGAUAAGUCUUUACAGAGAAAGCUUUAUGCACCAUUGGAUGAGCCUGCACUUGAUUAGUUUGUUGGUGGGGUAAUGGCCUACCAAGACUGUGAUCAAUAGCUGAUUUGAGAGGAUGAUCAGCCACAUUGGGACUGAACACGGCCCAAACUCCUACGGGAGGCAGCAGUGGGGAAUCUUGCACAAUGGAGGAAACUCUGAUGCAGCGAUGCCGCGUGAGUGAAGAAGGCCUUUGGGUUGUAAAGCUCUUUCGUCGGGGAAG
rnacentral:rRNA from 1 species